rnacentral:rRNA from 1 species
CACUCCUACGGGAGGCAGCAGUGGGGAAUAUUGCACAAUGGGCGCAAGCCUGAUGCAGCCAUGCCGCGUGUAUGAAGAAGGCCUUCGGGUUGUAAAGUACUUUCAGCGGGGAGGAAGGCAAUACGGUUAAUAACCGUGUUGAUUGACGUUACCCGCAGAAGAAGCACCGGCUAACUCCGUGCCAGCAGCCGCGGUAAUACGGAGGGUGCAAGCGUUAAUCGGAAUUACUGGGCGUAAAGCGCACGCAGGCGGUCUGUCAAGUCGGAUGUGAAAUCCCCGGGCUCAACCUGGGAACUGCAUUCGAAACUGGCAGGCUUGAGUCUUGUAGAGGGGGGUAGAAUUCCAGGUGUAGCGGUGAAAUGCGUAGAGAUCUGGAGGAAUACCGGUGGCGAAGGCGGCCCCCUGGACAAAGACUGACGCUCAGGUGCGAAAGCGUGGGGAGCAAACAGGAUUAGAUACCCGUGUAGUCCC